AUUUAUGUAGCUUAAAUUAAAAGCACAGCACUGAAAAUGCUGAAAUGAAACUUAAUCUCUUUCCAUUAAUA
rnacentral:tRNA from 1 species